UCUUUGCAGCCUUGUGACUUUGCCGCUUGCACUUGUCCAUUGCUUGUGGCUCUAACAAGGUUUGCGAAAAGCAAUUCAAAGAUUGAGAAGGCGUGACUUCCGGAGGCUCGGAAGCUUCACGUGCGAUGUUCUUUGGACACUGCUCCUGCUUUCCACGGUGGCGAUGGCUUGGCUAUAUAGGCAUCGCCUUUCUUGAGGCAGGAAGAGGAAAACGGUGGCAGCCAGAUAUUGUUUGAAGCAGUUGAAGACCUUCCUGUCAGACACUGUUGGCUGUUGCACAA